GAUCAACCCCUCCCAGCCUAUUAUAAUCCAAGAUGCAGUCUGGCUUGGGAGUCAUGGUACCUCAUACAGGGGCAGGGGAGCUGCUGUGCCCAUGAACUGUGGUCAGUUCAAGGACAUCCCUGGUAUCCAGUACAUAACCAACAACAUACAUUGAGAAAAGCCCCUGCUGUGACCCUUUCUGAGUGGUUGCCUGAGCAGGGACCUAGGAAGGCUUCUCUGAUUUUGGAGUAGUGUGCCGCAAGCUGCAGUACAUCUGGAAUUUAGGGACUUAAACAAAUCGUAUGCAGGUGUAGAAGUUAUCCACAUAGACGUGGUAACAAUGGUUCAGCAGUGGGUGCACACUAUUUUUCCACUAACUACUAGGACAGGGGGAAUUUUGGGGGUUCAAUCAGAGUGUCCUUCCCUUCGUAAACGCUGAACCUAUGGGUCUAAACAGAGGUACUCUCGCAUACCUCUUGCUGGGCAGUUACUGGUAGAAUUUUACCCUUCCUUUAAAAUAUAACAGAUCCUUCAUUAUUUUCUGUAAUGUACUGAUAAACAUUAGACUUUCAUAUAUU